UACGGGGGGGGCAUGCGUUGUUCGGAAUUACUGGGCGUAAAGGGCUCGUAGGUGGCCAACUAAGUCGGACGUGAAAUCCCUCAGCUUAACUGGGGAACUGCGUCCGAUACUGGAUGGCUCGAGUUUGGGAGAGGGAUGCGGAAUUCCAGGUGUAGCGGUGAAAUGCGUAGAGAUCCGGAGGAACACCGACGGCGUAGGCAGCGCCCUGGACGACACCUGACGCUGAGGCACGAAAGCUGGGGGAGCGAACAGG
rnacentral:rRNA from 1 species